UAUCUCUCCGUACGGGGAAGGAUGAGAAGCUUCGACUAAGGUUCGAUUCGAGCGCAGCGAGAAAGCGUUGCCACAGGCAACGACCCGAAGGGUGAGGAGCGGAGCGACGAAUAAUCCUUCCCCCACCAUCA
rnacentral:sRNA from 1 species